rnacentral:misc_RNA from 1 species
UUUCCCUUUCUUCACCAACACAAACGUUGGCAUAGCCUGAACUCCAAAUUCCUGGGCCACAUCAGGCAAUUCAUCCACAUCGAUCUUGGCAAACUGGACAUCAGUGAACUUGGCAGCCAAGGCUUUAACUUGUGGUUCAAUUAACUUACAAGGUCCACACCACGAUGCAGCAAAAUCUACGACCAUCAGCUGGGAUAACUCUUUCAUGGAAUUGAAAUGGAGCUGCCAUCGCUCAGAGGAAUGGAAAGUUGUGACUGCCGAAUGAUCCGCCGAUGAGGAAUCUUCGCCGGCGGCUGCAGCGUCUCCAUUAAGAGCAGAGAAUAAACCUCCCAUUGCUCUCUCUCUCUCUCUCUU